rnacentral:rRNA from 1 species
CGAAUGCUGACAUAAGUAACGAUAAAGCGGGUGAAAAGCCCGCUCGCCGGAAGACCAAGGGUUCCUGUCCAACGUUAAUCGGGGCAGGGUGAGUCGACCCCUAAGGCGAGGCCGAAAGGCGUAGUCGAUGGGAAACAGGUUAAUAUUCCUGUACUUGGUGUUACUGCGAAGGGGGGACGGAGAAGGCUAUGUUGGCCGGGCGACGGUUGUCCCGGUUUAAGCGUGUAGGCUGGUUUUCCAGGCAAAUCCGGAAAAUCAAGGCUGAGGCGUGAUGACGAGGCACUACGGUGCUGAAGCAACAAAUGCCCUGCUUCCAGGAAAAGCCUCUAAGCAUCAGGUAACAUCAAAUCGUACCCCAAACCGACACAGGUGGUCAGGUAGAGAAUACCAAGGCGCUUGAGAGAACUCGGGUGAAGGAACUAGGCAAAAUGGUGCCGUAACUUCGGGAGAAGGCACGCUGAUAUGUAGGUGAAGUCCCUCGCGGAUGGAGCUGAAAUCAGUCGAAGAUACCAGCUGGCUGCAACUGUUUAUUAAAAACACAGCACUGUGCAAACACGAAAGUGGACGUAUACGGUGUGACGCCUGCCCGGUGCCGGAAGGUUAAUUGAUGGGGUUAGCGCA